GAUGAACGCUGGCGGCGUGCCUAAUACAUGCAAGUCGAGCGAACAGACGAGGAGCUUGCUCCUCUGACGUUAGCGGCGGACGGGUGAGUAACACGUGGAUAACCUACCUAUAAGACUGGGAUAACUUCGGGAAACCGGAGCUAAUACCGGAUAAUAUAUUGGACCGCAUGGUUCAAUAGUGAAAGACGGUUUUGCUGUCACUUAUAGAUGGAUCCGCGCCGCAUUAGCUAGUUGGUAAGGUAACGGCUUACCAAGGCAACGAUGCGUAGCCGACCUGAGAGGGUGAUCGGCCACACUGGAACUGAGACACGGUCCAGACUCCUACGGGAGGCAGCAGUAGGGAAUCUUCCGCAAUGGGCGAAAGCCUGACGGAGCAACGCCGCGUGAGUGUUGAAGGUCUUCGGAUCGUAAAACUCUGUUAUUAGGGAAGAACAAAUGUGUAAGUAACUAUGCACGUCUUGACGGUACCUAAUCAGAAAGCCACGGCUAACUACGUG
rnacentral:rRNA from 1 species